rnacentral:rRNA from 1 species
UACAGAGGUGGCAAGCGUUGUUCGGAAUUACUGGGCGUAAAGGGCGCGUAGGCGGCCAUCUAAGUCAGACGUGAAAUCCCCCGGCUUAACCUGGGAACUGCGUCUGAUACUGGAAGGCUUGAGUAUGGGAGAGGGAUGUAGAAUUCCAGGUGUAGCGGUGAAAUGCGUAGAUAUCUGGAGGAAUACCGGUGGCGAAGGCGGCAUCCUGGACCGGCAUUGACGCUGAGGAGCGAAAGCCAGGGGAGCAAACGGG